CCCCUAGAUGUUCUGGGCCGCACGCGCGCUACACUGAACAGUUCAACAAGUCUUAACCUUGGCCGAUAGGUCUGGGUAAUCUUUGAACGCUGUUCGUGAUUGGGAUAGACCUUUGCAAUUAUGGGUCUUCAACGAGGAAUUCCUAGUAAACGCAAGUCACCAGCUUGCAUUGAUUACGUCCCUGCCCUUUGUACACACCGCCCGUCGCACCUACCGAUUGAAUGGUCCGGUGAAAUCUCGGGACGGCGGCUCGGUCGCUUGCGUCCGACUGCUGAAACUUGAUUAAACCAUAUCAUUUAGAGGAAGGUGAAGUCGUAACA
rnacentral:rRNA from 1 species